GAUGAACGCUGGCGGCGUGCCUAAUACAUGCAAGUCGAGCGAACGGACGAGAAGCUUGCUUCUCUGAUGUUAGCGGCGGACGGGUGAGUAACACGUGGAUAACCUACCUAUAAGACUGGGAUAACUUCGGGAAACCGGAGCUAAUACCGGAUAAUAUUUUGAACCGCAUGGUUCAAAAGUGAAAGACGGUCUUGCUGUCACUUAUAGAUGGAUCCGCGCUGCAUUAGCUAGUUGGUAAGGUAACGGCUUACCAAGGCAACGAUGCAUAGCCGACCUGAGAGGGUGAUCGGCCACACUGGAACUGAGACACGGUCCAGACUCCUACGGGAGGCAGCAGUAGGGAAUCUUCCGCAAUGGGCGAAAGCCUGACGGAGCAACGCCGCGUGAGUGAUGAAGGUCUUCGGAUCGUAAAACUCUGUUAUUAGGGAAGAACAUAUGUGUAAGUAACUAUGCACAUCUUGACGGUACCUAAUCAGAAAGCCACGGCUAACUACGUGCCAGCAGCCGCGGUAAUACGUAGGUGGCAAGCGUUAUCCGGAAUUAUUGGGCGUAAAGCGCGCGUAGGCGGUUUUUUAAGUCUGAUGUGAAAGCCCACGGCUCAACCGUGGAGGGUCAUUGGAAACUGGAAAACUUGAGUGCAGAAGAGGAAAGUGGAAUUCCAUGUGUAGCGGUGAAAUGCGCAGAGAUAUGGAGGAACACCAGUGGCGAAGGCGACUUUCUGGUCUGUAACUGACGCUGAUGUGCGAAAGCGUGGGGAUCAAACAGGAUUAGAUACCCUGGUAGUCCACGCCGUAAACGAUGAGUGCUAAGUGUUAGGGGGUUUCCGCCCCUUAGUGCUGCAGCUAACGCAUUAAGCACUCCGCCUGGGGAGUACGACCGCAAGGUUGAAACUCAAAGGAAUUGACGGGGACCCGCACAAGCGGUGGAGCAUGUGGUUUAAUUCGAAGCAACGCGAAGAACCUUACCAAAUCUUGACAUCCUUUGACAACUCUAGAGAUAGAGCUUUCCCCUUCGGGGGACAAAGUGACAGGUGGUGCAUGGUUGUCGUCAGCUCGUGUCGUGAGAUGUUGGGUUAAGUCCCGCAACGAGCGCAACCCUUAAGCUUAGUUGCCAUCAUUAAGUUGGGCACUCUAAGUUGACUGCCGGUGACAAACCGGAGGAAGGUGGGGAUGACGUCAAAUCAUCAUGCCCCUUAUGAUUUGGGCUACACACGUGCUACAAUGGACAAUACAAAGGGCAGCGAAACCGUGAGGUCAAGCAAAUCCCAUAAAGUUGUUCUCAGUUCGGAUUGUAGUCUGCAACUCGACUACAUGAAGCUGGAAUCGCUAGUAAUCGUAGAUCAGCAUGCUACGGUGAAUACGUUCCCGGGUCU
rnacentral:rRNA from 1 species